UCCGUGAGAAAAGAGAACACAAAAAUAGGAAAGAUCAAGCAGAUACACAUCAGUCCAAAUACACACAGAGGCAGGAACCAGAGAACAAAAGGCAGGAACCAGAGAACAAAAGCAAGAACUCAACAGGAAGUCAGUAAAAGCAACGUUAGAUAAGAACACAUUCAGGGACACACAACAUAGCUACGCAUACAUAACCACGAGAAAUCAGCCAAGAGAUAGUGCAGUAAAGCAUCCAGAAACAAAAAGCAGAAACGAGAUAUACACAAGCCUACAGAAAUCAGAGAGACAUUGCAACAGUGAUAAAAAGAGAACAGAGAUUACAGAUACAUAUACAUCACAACAGAGGCAGAGAUUACAACACAAAUAUCAUACAUCUAAUAAAUCAGAGAGCUAUAUAAAGAAAAUAAACCGGAUUACACAGAAGCAGAGUGACGUACAAAGCUCGUAACCAAUCAGAAAAUCCACGCCUACACCAGCACACAGAAAUAUCAGGCUACAUACACCUACAACACAGGAAGGAGAGCAUACUCAGGUAAGCAUUCAAAACCAUAAAUUUUGUUUUAUGAACACUCCCCGCUCUAUAUGGCUUACACGUUAGACUUGUAUGAUUAAUUCAUAACUGUUUAUAAUCGAUCAUAACACAGAAACACGUAUACAUAUAGUGGAUUGGAAUGUAAAAAGCAUGAUUGAAAUUUGUUUUAGCCUAUAUGUUUCCAUCAAUUAGUACCAUCAAUAGGAUUAGGCAAAAUCUUCAUAGAAAAGGGAUUAUUCCCUUGUUAUUACUGAUCGGAACCUUAAUGAAGUUCAUACAAAGGGUAAGGAUUCAUUGUAAAUAAAGGAGAAUGAUUACCUCUCCUCUGAUCUGUUGCGAGUGAUCGCUAAGGGGAGAUGCUCGACUUAGUCGGCAUGGCGUAGGUCUUCGGUAUGCCUUAAUUGGUUCUGGCUCAACCAUUAAUGACCCCGGA
rnacentral:lncRNA from 1 species